rnacentral:rRNA from 1 species
GAUGAACGCUGGCGGCGUGCCUAAUACAUGCAAGUCGAGCGAACGGACGAGAAGCUUGCUUCUCUGAUGUUAGCGGCGGACGGGUGAGUAACACGUGGAUAACCUACCUAUAAGACUGGGAUAACUUCGGGAAACCGGAGCUAAUACCGGAUAAUAUUUUGAACCGCAUGGUUCAAAAGUGAAAGACGGUCUUGCUGUCACUUAUAGAUGGAUCCGCGCUGCAUUAGCUAGUUGGUAAGGUAACGGCUUACCAAGGCAACGAUGCAUAGCCGACCGGAGAGGGUGAUCGGCCACACUGGAACUGAGACACGGUCCAGACUCCUACGGGAGGCAGCAGUAGGGAAUCUUCCGCAAUGGGCGAAAGCUUGACGGAGCAACGCCGCGUGAGUGAUGAAGGUCUUCGGAUCGUAAAACUCUGUUAUUAGGGAAGAACAUAUGUGUAAGUAACUGUGCACAUCUUGACGGUACCUAAUCAGAAAGCCACGGCUAACUACGUG